AAGCGGAAGUUGUUGGUACUGCGCUGCGCAGUGGAUGAAUGGGAUCGCUGUACAUCAUAUUGCGCUUCUCUUGUAUCGAAACGAUAGAAACGCAUAACGCUGUCUGUAAUACACAAAAUGAGGCGACCAGAAAGGAUUUAUUCAUCUCAACUUUACCUUAAUGCACAUCACUGAGUGUAAUUUAUUAAAAUACAUUAGUUGUUGCUGUAAAUUCAUAACAGUUACUGAAAUAGAUAUCUGAUUUUAUUGGAAGUAUUUGGGAAGCUGCAAACCAUCCCAUUUUUUUCCAUCAUCAGUUAUGAUGCAUUCACAUGAGCUGUCUUCAUGAUCACCGGUUUCAUCGCCCUUUCUCCGUCAGUCUUGGUCUCUGCAUCAGCAGGUCAUCAUGAGGAUGAGGCUGAAGCUGAAGACUGUGUUUGUCAUGUACUUCAUGGUGUCACUGCUUGGACUCAUCUAUGCGCUGAUGCAGUUGGGUCAGCGCUGUGACUGUAGUGAUCAUGGCAUGUCUAAAGAUCAGCAGAUCUCUCAUCUGCGAACGGAGCUUCAGAAGCUGCAGGAACACAUAAAAACGUCACAGCUGAAGAAGACUGAUGUGCCCAAAAUUUAUGUGAUAACACCCACAUAUGCAAGACUGGUGCAGAAAGCUGAGCUCACUCGUUUGUCUCUCACCUUACUCCAUGUUCCUCAGCUCCACUGGAUCGUGGUGGAGGACGCUCCCCAGCCAACUCCGCUCGUCACAGACUUCCUGGCUGCGUCUGGCCUGACCUACACCCACCUGCACAAGCUGACCCCCAAAGACAGGAAGCUCCAGGAAGGUGAUCCCAGCUGGCUGAAGCCUCGGGGAGCUGAGCAGAGGAACGAGGGUUUACGCUGGCUCAGAGAGAUGGGUGCUGCCGCUGAGGGAAAGGAAGCGGCUGCCCUCGAGGAGGCUGUGGUGUACUUUGCUGACGAUGACAACACAUACAGCCUGCAGCUUUUUGAAGAGAUGCGGUACACAUACCGUAUCUCUGUGUGGCCCGUGGGUCUGGUGGGCGGGAUGAAAUUUGAGCGGCCUGUGGUGGAAGAUGGGAAAGUUGUGCGUUUCCACACUGGCUGGCGCCCCAAUCGCCCUUUCCCCAUGGACAUGGCUGGUUUUGCAGUGUCCUUGAGGUUGGUAAUGACCAAUCCCGAAGCACGGUUUGACGGUGAUGCUCAGAUGGGCUUCCUGGAAAGUAGUUUUCUUCAACACCUGGUUACUAUGGACGACCUUGAACCCAAAGCAGACUUGUGCUCCAAGGUGCUGGUGUGGCACACCCGAACUGAGAAACCAAAGAUGAAGCGGGAAGACGCUUUGCAGAAGCAAGGGUUGGGUUCAGAUCCGGAUGUGGAGGUGUGAGCACCACCUCCUCAGAACAUGCCUGAACUUUACCAAACAUCCACACUUCCGUAGUGCCAAACAGAUUCUCUUAUGUAAAUGGCAAGAGGUAAAUUUUAAUGUACUGAAGACACUUCUGUAAGUGUGAUUUCUGGGUUCGCACACCAAAGACAUUAGGAAAUGGAUUGUUAUAAUUCAUCCUGCACCCCACAAACCAUCCUAAUCAACGGUUCACUUGAACAUUAUUUAAAGGGAAUUGUACAUAUGGUGUCAAUCAUUAAGAUGAUGAGUUUGUAUUUAUAGAUUAGAAGUGAGGUUUGCUUGAAAUAUAUUUAUUAUAAUAUGAACUCAUUAUGUCUAUGCUGUCUUUGUCUCUCUAGGUGUACUUGUCUUAUGCCUUGCUAAUAAAGACUUUUUUUCCACUGAUAAGUGGAGUACAUAAAUAGGUUAGAUACGCUGUCUAUUUAUGCAUUGCCAUUAAUGAUCUCUUAAGUCACAAUGCUUUGAUUAUCUUUAAUCCAGGGGCGUGAUGUGUACGUGGCACUGGUAAAGCUUCAGGUGACACGGUGUAAAGUACAAAUGAUGUCACUUGAACCUGUGAAACAAUGAAGAGUGAAAACAUUUAGAGAAUGUGAUAACAUUUCGAGUUAUGCACAUCAUCAUUCUGGUGGCGAUGUAAAAACUGUAGAUAGCAGAUAGAUAGCAGAAUGAAGCAGAGGUCUUCCUGUUUUACUGAAUCCAAAUGUAAGAAUGUAAAUAUUUCAAUCAAGAUGUGAACAGUAUUGGCUGCCUUCCAAUUCAUGAGUUGGUCACUUCAAAGGAAGUUGAAUAUAGUGCAACAGUUUGGUCCCUUUCACAUUCGGGAUAAGGGAAUUGAUUUUUAACGAUAACUAAUAAACUAUUAAAGACAG